UACGGGGGGGGCAAGCGUUGUUCGGAAUUACUGGGCGUAAAGGGCUCGUAGGCGGCCAACUAAGUCAGACGUGAAAUCCCUCGGCUUAACCGGGGAACUGCGUCUGAUACUGGAUGGCUUGAAUCCGGGAGAGGGAUGCGGAAUUCCAGGUGUAGCGGUGAAAUGCGUAGACAUCUGGAGGAACACCGGUGGCGAAGGCGGCAUCCUGGACCGGCAUUGACGCUGAGGAGCGAAAGCCAGGGGAGCAAACGGG
rnacentral:rRNA from 1 species